GAAUGUGUUGGUGCUGAUUAACUGUAGUCAGUCAUUCUGUUUUGAGGCCUUUGUCCACGGUUUCAAUUGCUCACUGUGUUACCCAGCAGCUUGUGGGCAGAUCUGAGGACACUUUGGCUCUUCAAGUAAAUGGCAGACCCUCAGAGAAGCUGUUCUGUCUGGGAGGAUGAACAGAGCCAAUGUCAGUCUCAGUGAAUGGAAAUGAAAGAACACGCGUGAAUCCUUUCAACAGUAGUAGUGCUGGAGGCUCCUUUCUCAGAGAGCAUACCAAGACUGCCUUCAGGACCUUAAAUAAAUCACUGAUCUCCUGCCUUGCCUCAGUGCCGUAUGACAUGCUUGAGUCCUGUAU